GACGUAGGGCGCGAGCGUUGUCCGGGAAUUAUUGGGCGUAAAGAGCUCGUAGGCGGUUUGUUGCGUCGGCUGUGAAAUCCCGAGGCUCAACCUCGGGUCUGCAGUCGAUACGAGCAAACUAGAGUGUUGCAGGGGAGACUGGAAUUCCUGGUGUAGCGGUGGAAUGCGUAGAUAUCAGGAGGAACACCGGUGGCGAAGGCGGCUUUCUGGACAGAUACCGACGCUGAGGCACGAAAGCUAGGGGGAGCAAACAGG
rnacentral:rRNA from 1 species